ACUAACUAACUUUGAGAAUCCCUUUCAGACUGAGCAGAGUUAAGCUGCAAAGGCUCCGUACCAGCUGCCUGGAAGAGGUUUCGACCAACUGACACAUCUGGGAAGGACCCUCUCCAAUCUGUUGAGCUGUCUACAGUGUACUUCAGGUUCCCAGCUUCAUGAGCUGUCACCUUGAUGCGGCAGCUCUCUUUGAGUCAUCUCUGCUCCUGGGAGGAACCACUCUCCCGUAUUCCUGUCAGCAACCCCAGGGAGACUCAUAGUUCGCCAAGUUGUACUUUGGUGGUAUCUUCACUUUGGUCUGUCCUGUGUGUCCUAUCUGGGGUGAGGAGACAUGUGUGUUGCUUCUCACCAGAAAGACACUUUGUCACACCACAGGUGCUUAUUAUACAUGGGUACGCACAUGCCACAGUGCCUGUGUGGGAGUUAGAGGACAACUUGUGGGGGCUGAUCUUCUCCUUCGACCUGUGGGGACCAAACUCAAGUCAUUGGGCACCUCACUGGUCUUCACUCAGUAUUUUACAUCCACUGGAUGUAAAUUUACAUUCAAAUAUGAAAGCAAAUAACAUUUAAAUUUUCAUAUAAAAGAUCCUCUGUGGACUCGACAAGAAUGUCUCUGACUUAAGCAGGACUUGACAUUUCAUCUCCAGUCCAUGCUAGAGGUGAACACAAGAUAGUGGGAUCUGGGAGCUUCUGAGGGAAUUUACAGUGUCAAGAUCCGCCCAUGAGUGGAGGAAGGUAAUGAACUGGGAGGGUGGCGGAUGCAUCACCUGCCUGAAUCAUGGAUACCAAAAGACUAAGGACGGUGAGUGUUCUGGGUGGACCUCCAGGAGGGACUGAAUACUUCAGGUGCUGACAUUCUUGGUAAACACUGAGUGCCCUGGAAUUUGGCAAAAGAAGACACAAGGAGAGAAGAAGGGUGUGGCUGGUGUUGUGAGCAUCAAAAGAAAAGGAUAUGAGUGAGAGAAAAAAAAAAAGAUCCAUAACCAUAAGCAGCAAGAACAUUUCUUGGAAGGUAUCUGUUUCCCUCCCAAAUUCCAUUCUUCUGCUUGUUGAACAGAACUACUGCUAACAAGGCCUGCUGAGGAAUCUGAGAAUCCUUCAUGUCUUUUCCUCUCUUCAUUACUUACACCUAACCAAUAAACUUUUUUUUUUUUUUAA